GAUGAACGCUGGCGGCGUGCCUAAUACAUGCAAGUCGAGCGAACAGACGAGGAGCUUGCUCCUCUGACGUUAGCGGCGGACGGGUGAGUAACACGUGGAUAACCUACCUAUAAGACUGGGAUAACUUCGGGAAACCGGAGCUAAUACCGGAUAAUAUAUUGAACCGCAUGGUUCAAUAGUGAAAGACGGUUUUGCUGUCACUUAUAGAUGGAUCCGCGCCGCAUUAGCUAGUUGGUAAGGUAACGGCUUACCAAGGCAACGAUGCGUAGCCGACCUGAGAGGGGGAUCGGCCACACUGGAACUUGGACCCGGUCCAGCCUCCUACGGGAGGCAGCCGUAGGGAAUCUUCCGCAAUGGGCGAAAGCCUGACGGAGCAACGCCGCGGGAGGGAUGAAGGUUUUCGGAUCGUAAAACUCUGUUAUUAGGGAAGAACAAAUGUGUAAGUAACUAUGCACGUCUUGACGGUACCUAAUCAGAAAGCCACGGCUAACUACGUG
rnacentral:rRNA from 1 species